rnacentral:rRNA from 1 species
AACUACAAAGGAAUUGACGGGGGCCCCGCACAAGCGGUGGAGUAUGUGGUUUAAUUCGAUGCAACGCGAAGAACCUUACCUAGGUUUGACAUCCGGAAGACCUUCCCGAAAAGGAAGGGUGCCCUUCGGGGAAUUCCGAGACAGGUGCUGCAUGGCUGUCGUCAGCUCGUGCCGUGAGAUGUUGGGUUAAGUCCCGUAACGAGCGCAACCCUUGUCCUUAGUUACCAGCACGUUAUGGUGGGCACUCUAAGGAGACUGCCGGUGACAAACCGGAGGAAGGUGGGGAUGACGUCAAGUCAUCAUGGCCCUUACGGCCUGGGCUACACACGUGCUACAAUGGUCGGUACAAAGGGUUGCCAAGCCGCGAGGUGGAGCUAAUCCCAUAAAACCGAUCGUAGUCCGGAUCGCAGUCUGCAACUCGACUGCGUGAAGUCGGAAUCGCUAGUAAUCGUGAAUCAGAAUGUCACGGUGAAUACGUUCCCGGGCCUU